GGGGACCACAAGGAUCAUCGUUACUUCUAGCUUCAACAUCGGCAUCGAACAAAAUGGGAGACACGCAUGGUUGCUACCUUGGUCGGUCACUGACCUGAUCCAAGACCUCUGGACCAGUGUCCUAGGUCGCAUGGUUCGGUGUUCAUC